rnacentral:lncRNA from 1 species
UAUUGGUCACUCAAUUUCUUUUAUUAUUGUUCCAAUAACAUUGUUUUUUCUUGUUCCAUUUUCAAAUGACACUUCACCUUCUUCUGUUCUAAACUCCAUAUCUUGCAAUUCUGUAAUAGUUCUUACAUUUGGCCUUCCAAGAGACAUUGAGUGUGUUCUUUUUUUUUUUUGUCCAAGCUUCCUAUUUCUUCUCAAAUUUAUGCUCCAAUAGCAACUUGGAUUCCACCUUUUCUUAAAUAAUUCAAUCUUAUUUCUUAAUUUGGUAGCUUUGUUCCAAUAUUUCUUUCCUACUUGCUUUUAAUUGUUGCCUUAAAU